GCUGGCUGUGAUGACAAUAACUUGCCCUAUCUGAGAGAGUUUCUCUGUAAUGAGACCAUCAUAACCUCAUUUCCUGAGCCAGC